UACGUAGGGUGCGAGCGUUAAUCGGAAUUACUGGGCGUAAAGCGUGCGCAGGCGGUCCGCAAAGUCUGAUGUGAAAGCCCCGGGCUCAACCUGGGAACUGCAUUGGAAACUGGCAAGCUCGAGUAUGGCAGAGGGGGGUGGAAUUCCGCGUGUAGCAGUGAAAUGCGUAGAGAUGCGGAGGAACACCGAUGGCGAAGGCAGCCCCCUGGGCCAAUACUGACGCUCAGGCACGAAAGCGUGGGGAGCAAACAGG
rnacentral:rRNA from 1 species